rnacentral:rRNA from 1 species
UACGAAGGGGGCUAGCGUUGUUCGGAAUUACUGGGCGUAAAGCGCACGUAGGCGGAUCCUUAAGUCAGGGGUGAAAUCCCGAGGCUCAACCUCGGAACUGCCUUUGAUACUGGGGAUAUCGAGUACGGGAGAGGUGAGUGGAAUUCCGAGUGUAGAGGUGAAAUUCGUAGAUAUUCGGAAGAACACCAGUGGCGAAGGCGGCUCACUGGCCCGUUACCGACGCUCAGGCGCGACAGCGUGGGGAGCAGACAGG